GUAUCAUAUGAAAAGAGAAAAGGUUAGCACUCACCCUGACAAGAAUGGAAAUAAACCUCGGACCUGACAACACAUAUACAGUUAAGGCAUUGCCACCUACGUUGUGGCUUCUAACCACUUUUU